rnacentral:rRNA from 1 species
GACGAACCGUGCGAACGUUAUUCGGAAUCACUGGGCUUAAAGCGCGUGUAGGCGGGCCAGCACGUCGGGCGCUGAAAUCCCCCGGCUCAACCGGGGAACGGGCACCGAUACGACUGGCCUGGAGGGGAGUAGGGGGACCUGGAACUUCCGGUGGAGCGGUGAAAUGCGUUGAGAUCGGAAGGAACGCCCGUGGCGAAAGCGGUGUACUGGGGCUGGUCUGACGCUGAGGCACGAAAGCCAGGGGAGCGAACGGG